CAGAUUCAAAUUGUAGGGUUAUUUCGAAAAUUUCAGAUUGAAAUGUUUUCAGAGAGAGAAGGUGGAGAACAUUUCACGGAGCACCGAACCUUCGAACCUUCGAGCCAGCCACCACAACUCUCGCCGGAUAUCCGCCGCCCGUAGACGUUGUCGUUGCCGUUUUCGCUCCAUCCAGUGCCGUCGUAGUGCCGUCGGUGUCCGUCGUCUUCCACCCAGCCAGGCAGUUCGGAUUGCGGGUCGCCGCAGCUCCGGCGUCGGCAGACGAAUCGAAGACGGCAUCGUCUUCCCUCCGGCCUAGCCAACCAAGGGCGCAUUUUGAGUAUCGAUUCCUCCCACCCGCUUCCUUCCCUGUGCCGGACCCUUGCGGUGGCCGCCGGAGCAUCGCCGGAGUGUCGUCGAAGUGUCGCCGGACCCUUUCAAGGAGACUAGAAAUGAACAAAUUAUUUGAGGAUGUGUCUUCGUUUGUAAAUUGCCUUAGUCUUUCUUUGAUGCGAGAGAAGGUCAAACGCAAGAGAGUACAAGCAACAAAAGAAUCUGGUAGCAAACCGCAAGAUGCUAUUAAGCAGAACCAACAAUAGCCAGAUAUGACUGAACUCGCCAAGGGUCUCCCAAGUAAUUGGCAGCAUUCCCAAUUGGAUCCAUCAGACGUCUGAUAGGUGAAAAGUUUACUUGUUUUUGUUGCUUAUAUUGUGUGGCUUUUGAGUAAGUUUUAGUGUUUAUUCUCAUGAAAAGUGUAUAAUUGUUGAUAUAAGUAUAAUUUUGACUGUUUAAAUGUUUUUGAUGCUUUUGUUGUUUAUUUUGAUGUAAAAUAAGGAUUGAAUAUCAUAAAAGACUUGGACCAGGCCUAAUGGACGAUGUUUUGCCGAAAGUUUCGCGCCCGGGCGUGAGAAAAAGGGCUCUGGGCGUGAUUUUACCGAGAGGGUCGCGCCCGGGCGCGAGAUACAAAGGGGCCCCCGGGCGCCACUUAGAAGAAUUGAGACGCUCGUCCAGCGUACAGAGGACGCUCGUCCAGCGCGCAGAGGACGUUCGGCAGAGGACGCUCGUCCAGAGUGAGGACGCUCGUCCAACGCUCGUCCAGGGACGCUCGUCCAGCAGAGGUCGCUCGUUCGGCAGAGGACGCUCGUCCAGAGUGAGGACGCUCGUCCAACGCUCGUCCAGCGCUCGUCCAGGGACGCUCGUCCAGCAGAGGUCGCUCGUUCGGCAGAGGACGCUCGUCAAGCAGGGGACGCUCGUCCAGCAGGGGACGCUCGUCCAGAAUAGGAGAGGACGCUCGUCCAGGGUCUCAACAACGUCCUUCAUCUGAAACAAACUGAGCUCAAUGCAUUUCUAGAAGGCUUGUAUCCAACGCCAACAAACCGAAUAAACACUUCGUCCAUACCGGUCAUUCCACCGAACCCCAUUGAAGACAACAAAAUAAAGGACAUACUAAGGAAGCUUGUUAAUUCCUCAUGCCAACGUUAUCUUUCUCAACAUUGUAACUCAUCCAUUGCUCCAAGUUAAGGUGCAAAGAAAGACUAAUGUCUAAAGACAAACUUCCUAUAUCAAUGGAAAUUUUCUUUAUUUAGUA